CAGGCAGAGGGAGCAACAUGAUGUCUCAAACCCAGGUUCUCAUGGCCCUGGUGUUCUGGGUUUCUGGUGCCUGUGCAGAUAUUGUGAUGACCCAGUCUCCAUCCUCCCUGGCUGUGUCAGCAGGAGAGAAAGUCACCAUCAGCUGCAGGUCCAGUCAGAGUCUUUUAUACAGUGGAAACCAGAAGAACUACCUGGCCUGGUACCAGCAGAAACCAGGACAGGCUCCUAAACUACUGAUCUACUUGGCAUCCACUCGGCACACUGGGGUCCCUGAUCGCUUCACAGGCAGUGGAUCUGGGACAGAUUUCACUCUCACCAUCAGCAGUGUUCAGGCUGAAGACCUGGCAGAUUACUACUGUCAGCAAACUCUCAGCACUCCUCCCACAGUGCUUCAGCCUCCAACAAAAACAUCUCUGAGAUUCUCAGCAGCUGUCUGCCCCACACAGCCCUGGACCUGCACACUUCCCCCUGCUUCUUGA